rnacentral:rRNA from 1 species
UCGAGAAUCUUUCACAAUGGGGGCAACCCUGAUGGAGCGACGCCGCGUGGAGGAUAAGGUCUUCGGAUUGUAAACUCCUGUCAUGCGAGAACAAGGCCUUACGGCUCGAUAGUAUCGCAAGAGGAAGAGACGGCUAACUCUGUGCCAGCAGCCGCGGUAAUACAGAGGUCUCAAGCGUUGUUCGGAAUCACUGGGCGUAAAGGGUGCGUAGGCGGCGAGGAAAGUCAGAUGUGAAAUCCGAAGGCUCAACCCUCGAAUAGCAUCCGAAACUUCCCCGCUCGAGAUUUGUAGAGGAGUCUGGAACUCUCGGUGUAGCAGUGAAAUGCGUAGAUAUCGAGAAGAACGCUCGUAGCGAAGGCGAGACUCUGGGCAACUUCUGACGCUGAGGCACGAAGGCCAGGGGAGCAAACGGGAUUAGAUACCCCCGUAGUCC